rnacentral:rRNA from 1 species
GACGAACGCUGGCGGCGUGCUUAACACAUGCAAGUCGAACGGAAAGGCCCUGCUUUUGUGGGGUGCUCGAGUGGCGAACGGGUGAGUAACACGUGAGUAACCUGCCCUUGACUUUGGGAUAACUUCAGGAAACUGGGGCUAAUACCGGAUAGGAGCUCCUGCUGCAUGGUGGGGGUUGGAAAGUUUCGGCGGUUGGGGAUGGACUCGCGGCUUAUCAGCUUGUUGGUGGGGUAGUGGCUUACCAAGGCUUUGACGGGUAGCCGGCCUGAGAGGGUGACCGGCGACAUUGGGACUGCGAUACGGACCAGACUGCUACGGGAGGCAGCAGUGGGGAAUAUUGCACAAUGGGCGGAAGCCUGAUGAAGCAACGCCGCGUGCGGGAUGACGGCCUUCGGGUUGUAAACCGCUUUCGCCUGUGACGAAGCGUGAGUGACGGUAAUGGGUAAAGAAGCACCGGCUAACUACGUG